CAAACCUCGGGCUAAGCCCUUUUAUACACAUGUAGGCUCCGCCUCCAGCUUUCCUAUUGGUCUACAUUUUUAACCCUUUCCCCCCUUUACAGACAGGCUCUAAACGAAUGGGCAAAUGCCACAACACUUCAUGAGGGAAAGUGUUUGAAAAUGGAUGAGGGGCUGCCGGCUCUUCAGGCGAGUGAUUACAUAACUGGACUUCUGAGCCAGUUCCAUCUGACAAGCUGAAAUGCGUGUGCUGGUAGAACAAUCUCUUUAGGCUUAACGCCUUCCAGUUGUAAGAAUCGUCAUAUUACUUAGAUGUUUUAUCAAUCAUGAUGUGCAGAAAUGGAGGUCGCAACCACAGUUUCCCAUCUCACAGGCAGAGGAAUUGCCAGCUUCAGCUGACAGCGGGGAGAAUUUGGGCAUGUGAAUUUGCCCUGGCUGGAUAAGUGCACUGCAAAAUACAGAGAAUGUUUUGGUUCACAUAUUGUUUUGAAAAGUGAAAAUCAG